ACCUCCCCAUAUAUAUGUAUGGAGUGGAUGGAGUUUGCAACUGAAGAGAAACUUUGUGUUCCCAACAAUCAAUGUGAAGUAAGGCUUUCACACAAGCUUAGCUAUGAGAAGUGAGUGUUUGGAGAGACGUUCGUUCAUCUAGCACAAAGGGAACUGGUUGCAGGAGAAACACUCACUCAGGUUUCUCAGUGUGUUUCCUAGUGCCGGUUUGAUUUUCCAGCAG